rnacentral:lncRNA from 1 species
CUUCCCUCUUUUCCUCAUUCGCCAGCUUUGUAGGUGACUGACCUAGUAGGCAUGUGGACGGUGUCUUUGUCACAGUCCUAGCCAGUCCCAUUUUAAGAUUGCCUCUAGGCAGCUUGGCUGGUGACUUAGUCUCGCCUUUUCAGGUCCCGCAGGGCUGCGUUCCCGCAGAAUUGGAUGUCUUUAGCCUCCUCCUGAGCCCAAUUCAAAACUAACCCAAAGCCGCCAAGCCCAACAGGGAAUAAGAGGACAGAAUAAGGUGUUAAACAACACAAUGGGAUGCUGUCAGCAGAAUCUAGACUAUGAGAAGCCACAGGACAGACAACCUUGUUUCUUCAAAUAAAUUGCAAGGAAGAGAGGAGUGUGGUGGGGAACCUAUAGAUUAAAAAAGACUUAAGAGAUGUAACACAUGGCCCCUUGUGCAUUUUAUUAGGAUCCUAAUUCAGCAAACACAUUGAAAAAAAUAGUAUGAUACUUAUUAUAAGAACUGGAAAUUUGGACACUGGGUAGUUGAUAAAAUU